AUAUGUACAUCGGCAGAAGAUUCUGAAAAAGAAAACGGACAAUCAGCUGUGCGCCAGCUCAGAGGAGCUCUUCAUGACAGCGGCGAGGAAGCGUAUCCCGGAGCUGAUGGAACAACUUCCGAAUGAUGGGCCAGAGCAUUCGCUCCUGGCGGAAUACGCGCUUGGCUUCCUCGCCGUCCUCACCGGCCAUCGCUCCGUCGCCAUCGUAAAUAUGACGGCGGCCCAGGUCUUGGCGGCGGAGCGGUCCAAGGA